AUGCGCUGCCGGCGGGGCAUGUUUUGCGGGCUGCUCUCUUGUCUCAUUGGAUCCCAUUUCCAUAAUCCCACCUCUUUUCCCUCCUCUCCCCAUCGUCGCUGGCUGCGAGCCCAGGAUCCCAUCCCCCCUAAGCCCCCGAGCCCCUCACCCUCAGCAGCUAUGAUGGCGGAGUGGGGAGCCCAACAGGGCCCCCAAAGCAUCGAACACCCCCUCAACCCACGUACCCCGCACUCCACUGCCGUGCCUCAGUUUCCCCACCACAGGGAGGUGGUGGCAAACCACCGCACUGCCCCAGCACUGCGCCCACCAUUGAGCAAUGCCCCGAUAAGCGCUAGGGGCACGGGGCCAGCCCAUCGCCGGUUCCCAAUUGCACGGAGUGCACAGGAGACACCCAACAAACGCCCUCCGUGGGGUGGGAGCCAGGUGGCUGCGCAGGUGACCUCGUGGGGAAAGCGUUGGCCCUGGAGGGGACAGCAUGGGAACGUGGCACAAGGGAUAGGGAGGAACGGAGAGUGUCCCCUUCGUCAUGGAGACAACACCUCAGGAUGUAACCAGUGCAGGGCACGCUCCCUGCAGGCUGUGUGCACCCCGGCACCAUGCACACCCCACUACAGCUGCAACCAGGGAACAACCGUGACGCCAAAGGGAGGAAAGUCCGGGGCAGUUGGCAUGGACGAGAGGUGGGGUCAAGGCCGGGGUUGGACACAUCCCGCAGCAGGACCCCGUGCUGCCCCUUGGAGGGGCUGCAGACCCAUUGCCGGGACACGGUUUCCCCAUGCACAGCAAAUGUUGGGGGUAUUCAGGGCAGGGUGUGUGGACACGGCCCUCCGGCCGCGCUCCAGUGCCUUGGCACAGCCCCACGCCUGGCCCCGGCCCCUAUUAACCAUUAAGAUCGAGCUCAGGGCGCCCGCCAAGUCUGGGACAGCACCAGCUGGGUGUCACUUUCUGGUGGCUCCCACACCGUGCGUCCCCCCCCGCAUCUGCGGGGACAAGCAGGGGACACCCCUUGCAGCGGGUGGGGGCCCUUUGCUGAGCCCAGCUCCCGCAGACCCUGUCCCGUGCGAUCACCCGAGGCCAUGCGUGACGAAGGCACCGCCGCAGUGCAAUGCGUGCAGCUUUCCCCAGGCAGUUGGUGCCCUCUCCUGGGGAGCAGAGCAGGAGUUACACCCCGCAGCCCUUGCAGGGACACGGGGAGCGGGAUGA
rnacentral:lncRNA from 1 species